GAGAGGGUAGCAAAGUCUGGUCAAAUGCGCAGGACUUAAGAUCCUGUCACUUUGGUGUUCGUGGGUUCGAAUCCCAUCCCUCUCA
rnacentral:tRNA from 1 species